GACGAACGCUGGCGGCGUGCUUAACACAUGCAAGUCGAACGGAAAGGCCCUGCUUUUGUGGGUUGCUCGAGUGGCGAACGGGGGAGUAACACGUGUGUAACCUGCCCUUGACUUUGGGAUAACUUCAGGAAACUCGGGCUAAUACCGGAUAUGAGCUCCUGCUGCAUGGUGGGGGUUGGAAAGUUUCGGCGGUUGGGGAUGGACUCGCGGCUUAUCAGCUUGUUGGUGGGGUAGUGGCUUACCAAGGCUUUGACGGGUAGCCGGCCUGAGAGGGUGACCGGCCACAUUGGGACUGAGAUACGGCCCAGACUCCUACGGGAGGCAGCAGUGGGGAAUAUUGCACAAUGGGCGGACGCCUGAUGCAGCAACGCCGCGUGCGGGAUGACGGCCUUCGGGUUGUAAACCGCUUUCGCCUGUGACGAAGCGUGAGUGACGGUAAUGGGUAAAGAAGCACCGGCUAACUACGUG
rnacentral:rRNA from 1 species